CAGUAGCCACGGUAAUACGUAGGGUGCAAGCGUUAAUCGGAAUUACUGGGCGUAAAGCGUGCGCAGGCGGUUUGUUAAGACAGAUGUGAAAUCCCCGGGCUCAACCUGGGAACUGCAUUUGUGACUGGCAAGCUAGAGUGUGGCAGAGGGGGGUGGAAUUCCGCGUGUAGCAGUGAAAUGCGUAGAUAUGCGGAGGAACACCGAUGGCGAAGGCAGCCCCCCUGGGCCAACACUGACGCUCAUGCACGAAAGCGUGGGGAGCAAACAGGAUUAGAUACCCGCGUAGUCCCUGUCUCUUAUA
rnacentral:rRNA from 1 species